rnacentral:guide_RNA from 1 species
UGGUUAGUACGAAUCACUGAGCUAAUGAUA